AUUUCACGGUUUAGUUUUAAAAUAACAUCUAUUCUUAUCUGACUGUUUUCUUUGAGACUUUUUAAUUAAUUUGCAACUGACUCUUUUUGCCUGCUAAUUGCUUAAUAUCAAGCCAAAUACGAUAGACAUUAGUUGAAGAGGUUCCGGAUACCAAUGAUAAAAGCUCUGUAGCAGUUAACUGAAAUGUAAUUUUUGAUUGCAACCAACUUUGUCAGC